AAUGGUUUGAAAAAAUUCCUCCCUGGACUAAUAAUAAAUAUUUUUUGGUGCUAUAUUAGAUAUAUAUGUAAUCAUAUUUAUAGUAAUAGUUUGCGAAGGUGAAAACAGGAAGCACAAAUGGUGUUUUUUUUUUUAAUGUGAUCCAAUUUAUCCCGUUAAAUUGUUAACUGAAGUCCUUGUUUGUGCUCCCAAAAAAUUGGUACCUUUGGUUAUGGAAAACUUAGGCCCUCUCGCUACCUUUGCCAAACCUUCUAUCAGGAACUUUGGUGUAAAUUUUGACUCAGCUCUGACUUUGGUCUCAUUUCAUUUGGAUUAUUGCAAUUCUUUGUUCACUUGUAAAGCUUCUGUGGAUCAUUUGCAAGCUGUUCAGAACACUGCCGCAAAGCUUCUGACCAAAUCUUCUAAAUUCUCAGUUGCACUGGCUCCCCACAAAAUUCAGAACCCACUUCAAGAUUUUGACUUUGACAUUCAGGGCUCUGCCUGGUCAAGCACCAACCUAUAUCAGAGAUCUUUUACAUCAGUACAUCCUAGGGCUGCACGAUUAAUCGUUAGAAAAUCGCGAUCUCCAUUCAUACUUAUGUGCGAUCUCAUUUCCAAAUGACAACGAUUUAAAAAAAAAAAAAAAAAAAAAGAUGACGACGAUUGUACCGCAUUUUGAUCCGGGACGUAAUCUGCAUGGAAACAAGCGCUCACUCUUCCUGCUCAACAAAUGGCAAGGGCGGAGCCUUAUACCACGUGAUACAGAAGCUGUGCCGUGUGAUGCUAAAAUUAGCAGGGAAAAAACAACGGAGAGCACGUCAGGGAUGAGGAGAAAGUGACGGGAGAAAAUCCGUCCCGGUCAACCACCCAAACAUCAAUAACAGGAACCUUAUACAACGCUUCACAUCGAACCUCCGCAGGCACAAAGAAAUUACGGAGGCUAUCACUUAUCACCUGACCAAAGAUAUGGCUCCCAUCAACACUGUGAAAAAAGAGGGAUUUAGGAAAAUGAUCAACACCCUAGACAUAUGCUACACAGUGCCGUCCUGCAACUAUUUUUCUAUUGUUGCACUACCUGCUCUAUACAC
ensembl:lncRNA